UUUGGCACUCGCGCCGCUGCAUCGCCGCUAUCCUCCGAUGAGUCAUCGGAGUCUCUCCCCUCUGUAGGACGCGGCCGAGGAGCCGGAGAGAGACCAAGUCCGAGGGCCUCAGAGACGGACGCGCGUCGUAAAGUCAGACUGCGGAGCCAGAGGACGUCCUCCGCCGGGACCUCCGAGAGCGGCUGCGCGUCGCCGAAAUGGAGAUCUCACCGCGCCUCGAGGCCUUUUAAAUGUUGAAUACGUGCUGAAGAGGCUGAGAGGCUUUCUCGUUUGGAUCUCCGCAGCAACUCGGUCAGCAGGAUGAAGAGGGAUCGGCCGCGGCGGUGGCUCAGUGGCUCAAUGGUAGUUUGAUGACAUCGGCGCCGCGAGAUAACGCACCUCCUGACGCCUCGGCGGUGAAACAGAAGGCCGCUUCGCCGCGCCUGGUCUGCGCGGGUCGGUCGGCGCUCUCGUUGGCGACGGUCCGGGUCCUCGUGGCGUCCGGUUGGACGACGGCCAGCUGGUGACAUCUGACACGAUGGAAGGCCGACGGCAACUCAAGAAAGAUGGAGAGGUCAUUAAAAGAAUCUUUAAUUUCCACUUGA